AUCCGGGGGACAUUUUCUGUCCAGUCCAUCCUGUGUGUGCAUGCUGUUACGCGCAGGACUCGACGUGUUUGCGUUUAACAUACCUGUGAAAAAGCUUGUUGGCUGCAUGUUUUUGAGGCAGUAUUUUGAUACAUGAUUUGGGUUUACAUGGAAUUUAAUCCCAAUUUGAUAAAGUAUGAAGGUGCAAAUUGUAGCAGCGUUACUAGGCCGCACUCGUCGUGGAAAUGUGGAGUAUGAUGUGCUGUCCACAGAGCAGGGGAUAAACUCGGGUCGGUUGCAGUGUUUCUUGAUGAUUGCACAUCCACACGUGGGCAGAAGGCCGGCUAAGGCCUCCAUGACUUUAUGAUGGAAUGCAGAAAAUGGGCUGUGUGGAUGUAUCCUUGGAAUAUCCGUAUACUAUACAAUCUGACUGCAAUGCUCAAGAAAUGGACAUGACACAGUGAAUUACAAGGUGAGUGGUGGUAAUGGCACAAUGGAAAAGACGCAUGCCUUUGGUGUCAGAGACCCUGGGUUCAGUUCAUAAAGUUCUCAUAAAUUAACAUGCAAUCACAUCCAUUCCUGUAUAUUGUUUGAAACCAGAAAGAUUUACAAAUGUAUGGAUUCUUUUUAACUGUAUUAUGUAACAAAUCUCCUGUGUGAAUAAAACAUUUGUUAACACAGUA